AGUGCAGAGAUAUUUCCUACAGUUUUACGAAAUGCCGGACUAGGUGGAGCGUCUGUAUUUGCCGGCAUUGGUUCCAUGACAGCUCCCUACAUCGUUACCUUCGGUGGAACAAUAGGUGGUGACUUUUCGUCGAUAGUUUGUGGAGUUGUUUCUCUAAUAUCUGGAAUAAUGUCGCUAAUGCUUCCCGAAACUCUUGAUAGAGAGCUUCCAGAAACUUUCGAAGAUGUCGAAAACUUCAAACGCUCAUGCAGAACAGGUAAAUGCGACAGUCCUACAUUUUCUGACUAAACAGAUUACCAAAAGAUUACCCAAUGAUAACCAUAAUCUGAUUUCCCUGAGAUUCCAUAUUUGUGUUUAUGCCAUAAAACAAUCUACAGAUGAAAUCACUUUUUUAAAAAAAAAUCAACAAUUGACAAAAAAGUUUGUUGCAUUUUCAAAAUUGAUAU